GGCUCAAGAACGAACGCUGGCGGCGCGUCUUAAGCAUGCAAGUCGAACGGCAAGAGGUAGCAAUACCUCCUAGAGUGGCGGACUGGUGAGUAACACGUGGGUGACAUACCCUUCAGAUGGGGAUAGCUAUUAGAAAUAGUAGAUAAUACCGAAUACGAGCACAGGGGUUAGAGAUCUGUGAGGAAAGGAGCUAAGGCUCCGCUGAAGGAAUGGCCUGCGGCCCAUUAGCUAGUUGGUGAGGUAAGAGCCCACCAAGGCGAUGAUGGGUAUCCGGCCUUAGAGGGUGAACGGACACAUUGGGACUGAGAUACGGCCCAGACUCCUACGGGAGGCAGCAGCUAAGAAUAUUCCGCAAUGGACGAAAGUCUGACGGAGCGACGCCGCCGUGGAUGAAGAAGGCCGGAAGGUUGUAAAAUCCUUUUGAAACUGAAGAAUAAGCGUUGUAGGGAAUGACAGCGUGGUGACAGUAGGUUUUGAAUAAGCAACGGCUAAUUACGUGCCAGCCGCCGC
rnacentral:rRNA from 1 species